GAGCUCAGAUUGCGCUACUGCACUCCAGCCUGUGUGGCAGAGCCAGACCCUGUCUCAAAAAAAAAAAAAAGGCCUUGGGCUGGGCACAGUGGCUCACUCACAUCUGUAAUCCCAGCAUUUUGGGAGGCCGAGGUGGGCGGAUCAUGAGGUCAGGAGAUUGAGACCAUCCUGGCUAACGUGGUAAAACCUCAUCUCUACUACAAAUACAAAAAAAAAUUAGCUGGGUGUGGUGGCAUGCACCUGUAGUCCCAGCUACUCGGGAGGCUGAGGCAGGAGAAUCGCUUGAACCUGGGAGGGGGAGGUUGCAGUGAGCCGAGAUGGCUCCAUUGCACUCCAGCCUGGUAAGAGGGAGACUCCGUCUCAAACAAACAAACAAAAAAGCCUUUAUUGGGUGACAGGACCAAGCCUUGGUGAGCCAGGCUGGGGAGCUCAUCAUCUAGCCCAGUCUUUUCAAAAACGUCAAAUUGACCUAUGUAGGGAGAAGUGGGGCCCUGGCUGAGAAACUAGAGCUGGGCCUCUUCACCAGAUAAACCUCUUGGUAUGGUGAUGCCUGGAGACUGGUAGAGGCAGCCACGGGCUCCAGCAGCAUAAAUGCUUUCAGGCAACAGGCUGAAACACCCUUCCAGAAUCCCAGCUACACACCUGACCAGGCACAGUGGCUGACGCCUAUAAUCCCAGCACUUUGGGAGCCCGAGUUGGAGAUCAGCCUGGGCAACAAAGGGGAGAUGCCCCAUAUCUACAAAAAAAUACAAGGACCCGGGCACGGUGGCUCAUGCCUGUAAUCCCAACACUUUGGGAGGCCAAGGCGGGUGGAUUACCUGAGGUCAGCAGUUCAGGACCAGUCUGGCCAACAUGGUGAAACCCUGUCUCUACUAAAAAAAUACAAAAAAUUAGCUGGGCAUGGUGGUGGGUGCCUGUAAUCCCAGCUACUUGACAGGCUGAGACAGGAGAAUUGCUUGAACCUGGGAGGUGGAGCUUGCAGUGAGCUAAGAUCACGCCACUGCACUCCAGCCUGGGUAACAGAGCAAGACUUCAUCUC